AGAGUUUGAUCCUGGCUCAGGAUGAACGCUAGCGACAGGCUUAACACAUGCAAGUCGAGGGGCAGCGCGGGUAGCAAUACCCGCUGGCGACCGGCGCACGGGUGAGUAACGCGUAUGCAACUUGCCUAUCAGAGGGGGAUAACCCGGCGAAAGUCGGACUAAUACCGCAUGAAGCAGGGGCCCCGCAUGGGGAUAUUUGCUAAAGAUUCAUCGCUGAUAGAUAGGCAUGCGUUCCAUUAGGCAGUUGGCGGGGUAACGGCCCACCAAACCGACGAUGGAUAGGGGUUCUGAGAGGAAGGUCCCCCACAUUGGUACUGAGACACGGACCAAACUCCUACGGGAGGCAGCAGUGAGGAAUAUUGGUCAAUGGGCGUAAGCCUGAACCAGCCAAGUCGCGUGAGGGAUGAAGGUUCUAUGGAUCGUAAACCUCUUUUAUAAGGGAAUAAAGUGCGGGACGUGUCCCGUUUUGUAUGUACCUUAUGAAUAAGGAUCGGCUAACUCCGUGCCAGCAGCCGCGGUAAUACGGAGGAUCCGAGCGUUAUCCGGAUUUAUUGGGUUUAAAGGGUGCGUAGGCGGCCUUUUAAGUCAGCGGUGAAAGUCUGUGGCUCAACCAUAGAAUUGCCGUUGAAACUGGGGGGCUUGAGUAUGUUUGAGGCAGGCGGAAUGCGUGGUGUAGCGGUGAAAUGCUUAGAUAUCACGCAGAACCCCGAUUGCGAAGGCAGCCUGCCAAGCCAUGACUGACGCUGAUGCACGAAAGCGUGGGGAUCAAACAGGAUUAGAUACCCUGGUAGUCCACGCAGUAAACGAUGAUCACUAGCUGUUUGCGAUACAGUGUAAGCGGCACAGCGAAAGCGUUAAGUGAUCCACCUGGGGAGUACGCCGGCAACGGUGAAACUCAAAGGAAUUGACGGGGGCCCGCACAAGCGGAGGAACAUGUGGUUUAAUUCGAUGAUACGCGAGGAACCUUACCCGGGUUUGAACGCAUUCGGACCGAGGUGGAAACACCUUUUCUAGCAAUAGCCGUUUGCGAGGUGCUGCAUGGUUGUCGUCAGCUCGUGCCGUGAGGUGUCGGCUUAAGUGCCAUAACGAGCGCAACCCUUGCCACUAGUUACUAACAGGUAAAGCUGAGGACUCUGGUGGGACUGCCAGCGUAAGCUGCGAGGAAGGCGGGGAUGACGUCAAAUCAGCACGGCCCUUACAUCCGGGGCGACACACGUGUUACAAUGGCGUGGACAAAGGGAAGCCACCUGGCGACAGGGAGCGAAUCCCCAAACCACGUCUCAGUUCGGAUCGGAGUCUGCAACCCGACUCCGUGAAGCUGGAUUCGCUAGUAAUCGCGCAUCAGCCAUGGCGCGGUGAAUACGUUCCCGGGCCUUGUACACACCGCCCGUCAAGCCAUGGGAGCCGGGGGUACCUGAAGUCCGUAACCGCGAGGAUCGGCCUAGGGUAAAACUGGUGACUGGGGCUAAGUCGUAACAAGGUAACC
rnacentral:rRNA from 1 species